GAUUUCUUGAAGAAAAUAAAAGGUUCCGACUCAGUUUGUUAAGUAUGUGAUAACUCCUUUGUGGAGUAUCUGCGAUGCCGCCUUUGCCUGUUCCUUUAACUGAAGCUGGUCUUAUCACGUGAUUUGGUAUCGAGUGUCUUAUCUACCUACCAAUGUAAUUAAACACGAAAACUCUCGUAGUUAUUUGUGAAUCGCCAAAGUUAUCG
rnacentral:lncRNA from 1 species